UCUUUUUAACUAAUUUUUUCAUGUCCAAAAAUUUUGAACCAUUCAUCUCAAAUAAUCCAUUAAAUUUUGACGCAUUUGAAUUUAAAUCUUAAAAUAUAUCGAAAUUAAAUUUUGAAUUUUGAAUUAGUAUUUACGGUUUAAGAUUUAGAUAAUUGUUUAAUUGGUAUAAUUUGACGUAAUUUGAACUUAUUUGAAUUAAUUUUAUUUAAUUUGGUUUAAAUAUAAUAAUUAACUAAGUAAUAAUUUAUUCUAAAAUAAAGAUAUUAAUUUUUUGCCAUUAGAUCUUAUCUAAUGAUUAAAAAUAAAAGUAUCUGUCACUUUUUGUGACAAUAAUACCUUCGCAUUUAUAUCAUAUUUUCUAUCUACGCGUUUCUCAAAUAUUUUCCUUCUCACACGUAAUAUCCGCACCCGCCAAUUCUUUCGCAACGUAAUAUCCGUGAAUUUUUCAAAUAUCUCAUUAAUCCACCUACCAUACACAUUCACCGCCUAUAUAAUAUCUAGUUAACCUUUCUCAUACGUAAUAUGACCUAUCAUAAUUUUGAAUUAAACAUAUCAUCGUAUUUGAAUUUAAAUAUUAAAAGGCUAAAUUACAGAAAACUCCCCUGUCAAAACUCGAUUUUUCACUUUCCCCCCUGUCAUUUAAAAACCUACACUUUAACCCCUUGUAAAAUAAAAAAUGUGCACUUUACCCCCUACCAUUAGAGUUCCGUUAUAACAUUUUUUUAUGCCAAAAAUACCCCUCCGCUCCUAUUCCCUGUUGCUUCGAUGGCUUCCGGGACGGCGCCCUCGCCGGCCUCACCCUCAUCCACGAGCUCAACCUCCUCUUCGACCGCCCCCUCGACGCCAUCUUCCUCAACUCCAACCGCCUCAGCCGCCGCCGCCCCAUCCCUGCCAACCUCGGCGACUCCCCAGCCUCCAUCGUCUUCCGCGCCCACAACAAACUCGGCGGCUGCAUCCCGCCCUCCAUCGGCCGCAUGGCCGACACUCUCAACGAGAUCGUCCUUCUCGACGACGGCCUCGCCACCUGCGUCCCGCCCGAGGUCGGCCUCCUCCGCCGCGGAUGAGGAGGAUGAGGGAGAAGACGAAAAUGGCGAAGGGCAAAAUGGUUAUUUUGUCACAUCGUACCCCCCUGUGAACAUUUUGUAUUUUACAAUGGGGCAAAGUGUAGGUUUUUAAAUGACAUGGGGGAAAGUGAAAAAGCGGGUUUUAACAGGGGGGUUUUUCAUAAUUUAGCCAUAUUAAAAUGUUUCAAAAUUUAAUUUUAAAUCAAAUAUGAAUUUUAUUGUGAAAAUAUCUUUAUCUUUUUAACUAAUUUUUUCAUGUCCAAAAAUUUUGAAUCAUUCAUCUCAAAUAAUAUAUUAAAUUUUAACGCAUUUGAAUUUAAAUUUUAAAAUAUAUCAAAAUUAAAUUUUGAAUUUUGAAUUAGUAUUUACAGUUUAAGAUUUAGAUAAUUGUUUAAUUGGUAUAAUUUGACUUAAUUUGAACUUAUUUGAAUUAAUUUUAUUUAAUUUGGUUUAAAUAUAAUAAUUAACUAAGUAAUAAUUUAUUCUAAAAUAAAGAUAUUAAUUUUUUGCCAUUAGAUCUUAUCUAAUGAUUGAAAAUAAAAGUAUCUGUCACUUUUUGUGACAAUAAUACCCUCGCAUUUAUAUCAUAUUUUCUAUCUACGCGUUUCUCAAAUAUUUUCCUUCUCACGCGUAAUAUCCGCACCUGCCAAUUCUUUCGCAACGUAAUAUCCGUGAAUUUUUCAAAUAUCUCAUUAAUCCACCUACCAUACACAUCCACCGCCUAUAUAAUAUCCAGUUAACAUUUCUCAUACGUAAUAUGACCUAUCAUAAUUUUGAAUUAAACAUAUCAUCGUAUUUGAAUUUAAAUAUUAAAAUAUUUCAAAAUUAAAUUUUAAAUCAAAUAUGAAUUUUAUUGCGAAAAUAUCUUUAUCUUUUUAACUAAUUUCUCAUAAGUAAUAUGACCUAUCAUAAUUUUGAAUUAAACAUAUCAUCGUAUUUGAAUUUAAAUAUUAGUGUAAUAUAUGCACCCGCCAAUUCUUUCGCAACGUAAUAUCCGUGAAUUUUUCAAAUAUCUCAAUAAUCCACCUACCAUACACAUCCAUCACCUACAUAAUAUAUCAUCGUAUUUGAAUUUAAAUAUUAAAGUGAUUCAAAAUUAAAUUUUAAAUCAAAUAUGAAUUUUAUUGCGAAAAGAUCUUUAUCU
rnacentral:lncRNA from 1 species